GAAUGGCUAGAAAGGAACUGGGUCAUGACUAUCAUUUGUUCAAAAAUUCAACUACACUUAUUUAUACUAGUUUUAUCUUUUACACCUAAAAAACCCCUGCCAUUUUAAAAGUCAGAUGCAUCCAUGUCAGGAUAUAAUUUAUGUUCAUCUUUUUAGUGAACAGACUCACUUCCUUUUCUGAGUUUGCGGAAGGAAGAUAACUCAUUACACGGGAGCCACAUGACAAAUUGCUUUUUCUAUUGCAAUGGCUUUUUAUUUAAUUUUAUUUUUUCCCUUAACUACUCAUCUGUUCACUACAGUGUCUUUUGCUGAAAUCCAGCCCCUGAAUCUGACUGUGCAAGCAGGGGCGCUUGUUCAGCUUGUUCAGAGAGAAGAGCUUCCAGAGUUUGAGCAGCUAUUCUGGACGAUAACACGAUUUGGCACAAAUCCCUCCAUUGAAACCAUUGUAACAUACAAUAAUGAAAGCAUCAAUCCUAAUGAUUCUUACAAGGACAGAGUGAUGUUUAAUAAAGCAUCCUUCUCUCUAACACUGAAAAACAUGCAGAAGACAGACAUGGGACUCUACUGCACAACAAUAAUAGGAGAUGAAAUUAAAGACUUUUGUCAUUACAAUGUUUUUGUUGUUGAAAACCAUGGAUCACCCACUAACAUUUUUCUACCUUGGAUAUUGUUCACUUCUACAAUCAGCACAAUGAUGCUGAUGAUGUUCUAAAUUGUGCUGUACUACUAAAGUAAAACAAAAUUAACAGGAUGAGACUCAAACAAGAAUAAUGAAUAAUUAAACAAUUCAACAAAACAUAGCCUACUCCUUUAUAUCUUGUCAAAACUUGAAGAAUGUGAGAAAACUUUCUUAUUAUAAUAAUUGUAUGUUUGCAGAUGAUGUUGAUGUAGUAAGUCACUUCAAUCACUUCAGAAAACUUUGUACAAUUUUCUGUUCAUUUUGAUAAAUAAAAUAAAUUUGUUCAAUAAAUACUCAAAUACGCUAAAUAUUAAAUAUGUUUGUUUAAAAAAAAUGAACACAUUUUAAGAAAUACAGAAAAAAAUAUUGAAAAAAUUUGAUUCAAAAACAAGAUUCUGAAUGUUUGUUACACUUGAAGGAGAUCUUAUAAUAAAAUUAUCGUAAUCUUAAUUAAUACUGCUUUACAGUAGUAACGAUAAAUAUUCUAUGAUCUGAUUAAUAUAAUUUUAAAUAUGAUGGCCAUCUGAAUUUACCUAUUUUACCCAUUUUAUGUUAACAAAUGGAAGAGAUAGCCAGCUAUUUAUUACAAAUCUAUAACUUUUCCAGAAAAAAAAAAAGCAGGCUUCCUGAACAUCCCGUCACUGGUCAGACAAACAGAUUGUCUUGUCCCAAACUCCAUUAAUAGUUUUAAAUGACAAAACCAGACUUACUGUAAUUUUACUUUAAAAUAAAUAAAUAGCCUAAUAACUGCAUGCGUUCACCUUUUUCACAUGCUUUAUUUCAUAAUUAGAACAAUAAUGUGCCAACCUCACAGCCUACCAGGGUUGCCAAGUCUAUGGUUUUCAUUGCUUAAAAACAUAUUAGCAAUAUCUUAAAAUUUUAUUUUACACUAUUGUAAACUGCAAACAGUUAAUUUUUGAAUAGUUCAAAAAUAAACAAUUACCACCCAUAUUGAAGAAUUUUGUUCACCAGCUGUCAGUCUUAAGUAGGAUAAUUUUAUUAAUGAAAACAAACGUAAUAAUUUUUAAUGUACACUGAAGUUAAAAUGAAGAUAAAUGUGUAAUGCCUAAUUGUGACUGUAAAAUAUGUAUUACAUUGUUAUAGGUAUGGGAGUGACAUAUUUUGGUAUUUGGGUUAGUUGAUGUCUGAAAAGACGUGAUUUUCUCAGCUUUUCGUUCAAAAUGUUUUUUGUUUUUUUUGUUUUU